CCUACGGGAGGCAGCAGUGAGGAAUAUUGGUCAAUGGACGCGAGCCUGAACCAGCCAAGUAGCGUGAAGGAUGACUGCCCUACGGGUUGUAAACUUCUUUUAUAAAGGAAUAAAGUGAGGCACGUGUGCCUUUUUGUAUGUACUUUAUGAAUAAGGAUCGGCUAACUCCGUGCCAGCAGCCGCGGUAAUACGGAGGAUCCGAGCGUUAUCCGGAUUUAUUGGGUUUAAAGGGAGCGUAGAUGGGUUGUUAAGUCAGUUGUGAAAGUUUGCGGCUCAACGGUAAAAUUGCAAUUGAUACUGGUAGUCUAGAGAACAGUUGAGGUAGGCGGAAUUCGUGGUGUAGCGGUGAAAUGCUUAGAGAUCAUGAAGAACACCGAUUGCGAAGGCAGCUUACUAAACUGCCACUGACAUUGAUGCUCGAAAGUGUGGGGAUCAAACAGGAUUAGAUACCCCUGUAGUC
rnacentral:rRNA from 1 species